CUCAGUUUUUUCCAUUCCUAUCCAACUCAAAUCAUGCUGGCCACGAAAACAAUUUCCUGAUUGCCGAUACAAUAAAUUGCCAAAUGCCUGACAAUUUGGGCCAGCGACGCCCCUGAAUGCUACAAUGAUAGCAACCUCUAUUGCUAUUACAUCUCCAACCUUGAAUGUCCUAUUUAGUACAGUAGUUAAUUAAUUAAUGGCAGUAAUCAACAUGAAGUCAAGUACAUUUCUGGCCAUUGGUGAGAAAUAUUGUCCAGAAGUACAGUGAAAUAACAAAAAAGGUGCACUAAGAGCAUUGUGGCUUAAUGAUCUAAUGAGAUAAUUAACCAAAGAUAGCUGGUAGACAUGCAGAUGGACUGGUUAACCCAUUCAAAUACCAAAAUCAAAGUCCAAUACUUUCCCCUUGACGAGAAAAAAUUCUGGCAUUAAACAGCUUAAAAUAACAAAGUAGGGCAAACUGAGGCACAUUGCAGCUUAACUUGCUCCAACUAUCAUUACAAACUGUAAAUCUUUAAUAAUAAAAUUCCUAUCCAGACACAAAAUUUGGUUACAAUUCAAUAAUUUGAAAAGUGCUGUUGCAUCCCUAACCUACUAAACUGCUUGCAAAUAUUAAAGGAAAGCUAUAAGGGCAGUUAAAAAAUAUAACAAGGAUUUGGUUUAUAAAUUGUUAAUUUCUAG